UGUGCUAUACUAGUAAGGUUGAAUGAAUCAACCCUUGGUGCUUAGCUUCUUUCACCAAGCAUAUUACACGCGGAUAACCGCCAAAGGAGAAAAGAUG
rfam:Streptococcus pneumoniae 2070335 gspj15.contig.4, whole genome shotgun sequence.